rnacentral:rRNA from 1 species
UGCAACCCGACUCCAUGAAGCUGGAUUCGCUAGUAAUCGCGCAUCAGCCACGGCGCGGUGAAUACGUUCCCGGGCCUUGUACACACCGCCCGUCAAGCCAUGGAAGCCAGGAGUGCCUGAAGUGCGUGACCGCAAGGAGCGUCCUAAGGCAAUACCGGUGACUGGGGCUAAGUCGUAACAAGGUAAC